CCUACGGGUCGCACCAGUAGGGAAUCUUCGGCAAUGGACGAAAGUCUGACCGAGCAACGCCGCGUGAGUGAAGAAGGUUUUCGGAUCGUAAAACUCUGCUGUUAGAGAAGAACAAGGACGUUAGUAACUGAACGUCCCCUGACGGUAUCUAGCCAGAAAGCCACGGCUAACUACGUGCCAGCAGCCGCGGUAAUACGUAGAUGGCAAGCGUUGUCCGGAUUUAUUGGGCGUAAAGCGAGCGCAGGCGGUUUCUUAAGUCUGAUGUGAAAGCCCCCGGCUCAACCGGGGAGGGUCAUUGGAAACCGGGAGACUUGAGUGCAGAAGUGAGAGUGGAAUUCCAUGUGUAGCGGUGAAAUGCGUAGAUAUAUGGAGGAACACCAGUGGCGAAGGCGGCUCUCUGGUCUGUAACUAACGCUGAGGCUCGAAAGCGUGGGGAGCAAACAGGAUUAGAUACCCCAGUAGUC
rnacentral:rRNA from 1 species